rnacentral:rRNA from 1 species
UGGGGAAUCUUCCGCAAUGGGCGCAAGCCUGACGGAGCAACGCCGCGUGAGUGAUGACGGCCUUCGGUUGUAAAGCUCUGUGAUCGGGGACGAACGGUCAGCAGACGAAUACUCUGCUGAAGUGACGGUACCCGAAUAGCAAGCCACGGCUAACUACGUGCCAGCAGCCGCGGUAAUACGUAGGUGGCAAGCGUUGUCCGGAAUUACUGGGUGUAAAGGGAGCGCAGGCGGGAAAUCAAGUUGGAUGUGAAAUGUCGGGGCUUAACCCCGGAACUGCAUCCAAAACUGAUAUUCUUGAGUGAAGUAGAGGUAGGCGGAAUUCCGAGUGUAGCGGUGAAAUGCGUAGAUAUUCGGAGGAACACCAGUGGCGAAGGCGGCCUACUGGGCUUUAACUGACGCUGAGGCUCGAAAGUGUGGGGAGCAAACA